rnacentral:rRNA from 1 species
GAUGAACGCUGGCGGCGUGCCUAAUACAUGCAAGUCGAGCGAACAGACGAGGAGCUUGCUCCUCUGACGUUAGCGGCAGACGGGUGAGUAACACGUGGAUAACCUACCUAUAAGACUGGGAUAACUUCGGGAAACCGGAGCUAAUACCGGAUAAUAUAUUGAACCGCAUGGUUCAAUAGUGAAAGACGGUUUUGCUGUCACUUAUAGAUGGAUCCGCGCCGCAUUAGCUAGUUGGUAAGGUAAUGGCUUACCAAGGCAACGAUGCGUAGCCGACCUGAGAGGGUGAUCGGCCACACUGGAACUGAGACACGGUCCAGACUCCUACGGGAGGCAGCAGUAGGGAAUCUUCCGCAAUGGGCGAAAGCCUGACGGAGCAACGCCGCGUGAGUGAUGAAGGUCUUCGGAUCGUAAAACUCUGUUAUUAGGGAAGAACAAAUGUGUAAGUAACUAUGCACGUCUUGACGGUACCUAAUCAGAAAGCCACGGCUAACUACGUG